UACGUAGGAGGCGAGCGUUGUCCGGAUUUACUGGGCGUAAAGGGCGCGCAGGCGGCAGCACAAGUACGAUGUGAAAUCUCCCUGCUCAACGGGGAGGGUGCAUUGUAAACUGUGCAGCUAGAGGACGGUAGAGGGGGGUGGAAUUGCUGGUGUAGCGGUGAAAUGCGUAGAGAUCAGCAGGAACACCCGUGGCGAAGGCGGCCCCCUGGGCCGUACCUGACGCUGAGGCGCGAAGGCUAGGGGAGCGAACGGG
rnacentral:rRNA from 1 species